rnacentral:misc_RNA from 1 species
GACUAAUGGUAACAGAAGCAGACGAGCAGGAUUGAAUGGCCAUGAGACUUGAUUAAAUUAUUUAAACAAAAAAUCUUCUUCUCAAAUCAUUCUGGAAAUGGUUGAAAGCUACUUGGAAACCACCUAGAGAAGAACAAUAUCAUCAAUUUGCCUAUGAUUUCACCUUGGAAUCCCUUCCCUAGCAGAUGGAUUACAAAGAAUGGAAAAAAGAUUACUUGAAAGCAGUUAUUAAAUAUAAAUAGGCCAAUUACCAAAAUGCAUCAAAU